rnacentral:rRNA from 1 species
UACGUAGGGGGGCUAGCGUUGUCCGGAUUUAUUGGGCGUAAAGAGCGUGUAGGCGGCUGGGUAGGUCCGCUGUGAAAACUCGAGGCUUAACCUCGAGACGUCGGUGGAAACCAUCCAGCUAGAGUCCGGAAGAGGAGAGUGGAAUUCCUGGUGUAGCGGUGAAAUGCGCAGAUAUCAGGAAGAACACCCGUGGCGAAAGCGGCUCUCUGGGACGGUACUGACGCUGAGACGCGAAAGCGUGGGGGAGCGAACAGG